rnacentral:lncRNA from 1 species
GAGAGUUUAAAUUUGUAACUUAUCGAUGUCAACGUUCACAAGAACCAAAACCGGAACAACAUUAGACUACUCAGUUGCGCCCUAACAGUAUAACUUUGCAACGAGUACUUUUUCUCAUUCUAUCGAACAAAGAGUAAAACCUAAUUAUAUUGUUCUAUUAUACCCCGAGAGUGUAAAUUUUUAACUUAUCGAGGUCAACGUUCACAAGAACCAAAGCCCAACCAACAUUAGACUACUCAGUUGCGCCCUAACAGCAUAACUUUGCAAUAAGUACUUUUUCUCCUCCAACCGAAUAAAGAGAAAAACCUAAUUAUAUUGUUCUAUUUUACCCUGAGAGAGUAAAUUUGCAACGUAUCAAUGUCAACGUUCACAAAAAUCAAAACCGGACCAACAUUAGACUACUCAGUUGCGCCCUAACAGCAUAACUUUGCAAUAAGUACUUUUUCUCCUCCAACCGAAUAAAGAGAAAAACCUAAUUAUAUUGUUCUAUUUUACCCUGAGAGAGUAAAUUUGCAACGUAUCAAUGUCAACGUUCACAAAAAUCAAAACCGGACCAACAUUAGACUACUCAGUUGCGCCCUUACAAUAUAACUUAAUUAUAUUGUUCUAUUAGACUUUUUCUCAUUCAAUUGAACAAAGAGUAAAACCUAAUUAUAUUGUUCUAUUAUGCCCCGAGAGUAUAAAUUUGCAGUGUAUCGAUGUCAACGUUCACACGAACCAAAAUGGUACAAACAUUAGACUACUAGUUGUGCCCUAACAGUAUAACUUUGCAACGAGUACUUUUUCUCAUUCAACCGAACAAACAGUAAAACCUGAUUAUAUUGUUCUAUUAUGCCCCGAGAGUAUAAAUUUGCAACGUAUCGAUGUCAACGUUCACAAGAACCAAAAUCGGAACAACAUUAGACUACUCAGUUACGCCAUAACAGUAUAACUUUGCAAACAGUACUUUUUCUCAUUCAAUCGAACAAAGAGUAAAACCAACUUAUAUUAUUCUAUUAUACCCCGAGCAUGUAAAUUUGCAACUUAUCGAUGUCAACGUUCACAAGAACGAAAACCGGAAGAACAUUAGACUACUCAGUUGCGCCCUAACAACAUAACUUUGCAAACAGUGCUUUUUCUCAUUCAAUCGAACAAAGAGUACAACCUAAUUAUAUUGUUCUAUUAUCGCCCGAGAGUGUAAGUUUGCAACGUAUCGAUGUCAACGUUCAUAAGAAUCAAAACCGGAAAAAUAUUAGACAACUCAGUUGCUCCCUAAUACUAUAACUUUACAAAGAGUACUUUUUCUCAUUCAACCGAACAAAGAGUAAAACCUAAUUAUAUUGUUCUAUUAUGGCCCGAGAGUGUAAAUUUACAAGGUAUCGAUGUCAACGUUCAAAAAAACCAAAACCGGACAAAAAUUAGACUACUCAGUUGCUCCCUAACAGUAUAACUUUACAACGAGUACUUUUUCUUCUUCAACCGAACAAAGAGUAAAAUCUAAUUAUAUUAUUCUAUUAUGACCCGAAAGUGUAAAUUUGCAACGUAUCGAUGUCAACAUUCACAAGAAACGAAACCGAAAAAAUUUUAGACUACUCAGUUGCUCCCUAACAUUAUAACUUUGCAACGAGUACUUUUUCGCAUUCAAUCAAAAAAAGAGUAAAACCUAAUUAUAUUGUUCUAUUAUGCCCCGAUAGUGUUAAUAUGCAAUGUAUCGAUGUCAACGUUCACAAGAACCAAAACCAGAACAACAUUAGACUUCUCUAUUACGCCCUAACAGCUUAACUUUGCAAACAGUACUUUUUCUCAUUCAAUCGAACAAAGAGUAAAACCAAAUUAUAUUAUUCUAUUAUGCCCCUAGAAUGUAAAUUUGCAACGUAUCGAUGUCAACGUUCACAGAAACCAAAACGGGAAGAACAUUAGACUACACAAUUGCGCCCUAACAGCAUAAUUUUGCAAUGAGUACUUUUUCUCCUUCAACCGAACAAAGAAUAAAAGCUAAUUAUAUUGUUCUAUUAUGCCCCGAGAGUGUAAAUUUACAAUGUAUCGAUGCAAACGUUCACAAAAACCAAAACCGGAACAACAUUAGACUACUCAGUUGCACCCUAACAAUAGAACUUUGCAAACAGAGCUUUUUCUCAUUCAAUCGAACAAAGAGUAAAAUCCAAUUAUAUUAUUCUAUUAUACCCCGGGAGUGUAAAUUUGGAACGAAUCGAUGUCAACGUUCACAAAACCCAAAACCGGAACAACAUUAGACUACUCAGUUGCGCCCUAACAGUAGAACUUUGCAAACAGAGCUUUUUCUCAUUCAAUCGAACAAAGAGUAAAAUCCAAUUAUAUUAUUCUAUUAUACCCCGGGAGUGUAAAUUUGCAACUUAUCGAUGUCAACGUUCAGAAGAACCAAAACCGGACCUACAUUAUAAUACUCAGUUGCUCCCUAACAGUAUAACUUUGCAAUGAGUACGUUUUCUCAUUCAAUCGAACAAAGAGUAAAACAUAAUUAGAUUGUUCUAUUACGCCCCGAGAGCGUACAUUUGCAACGAUUUGAUGUCAACGUUCACGUAAACCAAAACCAGACCAACAGUAGCCAUCUUAGUUGCGCCCUAACAGUAUAACUUUGCAACGAGUACUUUUUCUCAUUCUAUCGAAUAAAGAGUAAAACCGAAUUAUAUUGUUCUAUUAUGCCCCGAGAGCAUAUAUUUGCAACGUAUCGAUGUCAACGUUCACACGAACCAAAAUCGGACCAAUAUUAGACUACUCAGUUGCGCCCUAACAGUAUAACUUUGCAACGAGUACUUUUUCUCAUUCAACCGAACAAAGAGUAAAACCUAAUUAUAUUGUUCUAUUAUGCCCCGAGAGUGUAAAUUUGCAACGUAUUAAUAUCAACGUUCACAAUAACCAAAACCGAACAAACAUUAGACUACUCAGUUGCGCCCUAACAGUAUAACUUUGCAACGAGUACUUUUUCUCAUUCAAGCGAACAAAGAGUAAAACCUAAUUAUAUUGUUCUAUUAAGCCCCGAGAGUUUAAAUUUGCAACCUAUCGAGGCCAACGUUCACAAGAACCAAAUCGGACCAAUAUUAGACUACUCAGU